rnacentral:rRNA from 1 species
CCUACGGGAGGCAGCAGUGAGGAAUAUUGGUCAAUGGGCGGAAGCCUGAACCCGCCAAGUAGCGUGCAGGAUGACGGCCCUACGGGUUGUAAACUGCUUUUAUACGGGAAUAACGCGCCUUACGUUUAGGGCUUUGCAUGUACCGUAUGAAUAAGGACCGGCUAAUUCCGUGCCAGCAGCCGCGGUAAUACGGAAGGUCCGGGCGUUAUCCGGAUUUAGUGGGUUUAAGGGGAGCGUAGGCCGCAUGUCAAGCGUGCUGUGAAAUGUCCGGGCUCAACCCGGGCCUUGCAGCGCGAACUGGCGGGCUUGAGUCCGCGGAAGGCAGGCGGAAUUCGUGGUGUAGCGGUGAAAUGCUUAGAUAUGACGAAGAACCCCGAUUGCGAAGGCAGCUUGCUGCAGCGGAACUGACGCUGAUGCGCGAAAGCGCGGGUAGCGAACAGGAUGAGAUACCCUUGUAGUC